AGCACCACAACGGGUGGAGCUUGCGGUUUUAAUUGGAUUCAACGCCGGAAAUCUUACCGGGACCGACAGCAAUAUGAAGGCCAGGCUGAAGACUUUGCCGGAUUAGCUGAGAGGAGGUGCAUGGCCGUCGUCAGUUCGUACUGUGAAGCAUCCUGUUAAGUCAGGCAACGAGCGAGACCCACGCCCACAGUUGCCAGCGUACUCUCUGGAGUGACGGGUACACUGUGGGGACCGCCGCUGCUAAAGCGGAGGAAGGAAUGGGCAACGGUAGGUCAGUAUGCCCCGAAUAUCCCGGGCUACACGCGAGCUACAAUGGUUGGUACAAUGGGUAUCUACCCCGAAAGGGGACGGGAAUCUCCUAAAACCAAUCUUAGUUCGGAUUGAGGGCUGCAACUCGCCCUCAUGAAGCUGGAAUCCGUAGUAAUCGCGUUUCAACAGAACGCGGUGAAUACGUCCCUGCUCCUU
rnacentral:rRNA from 1 species